UAGACGUUUCAAGGGUCAUGGCAUAACAUUACCAAAGAUAGCAGAACACAGAUUGGAAAGAUCAUUCGUUUAGUACUGAAAGUUGCCGAAUGUGGCGCACAAUAUGGUUUUGUCUGCUUGUUCUUGCGAUGUGAAUGUCCACCGUGCGAUCUUGUCAAGUUUUAUAUCUUGGCUGCCUGGCUGUUUUGCCUUUCGUCUUUAUAAUUUCGUAUCACCAGUGAAUGCUUUGGUGUAGCAUUAAUGAUUUGUAUAAUGGUAGGUUGCUAAUUUAGUAUGCAAGAAAUCAGCUCGGUGGUCCGGAGCAGCUGUCAGCUCGGAUGUACGAUGACGAUGUCACCGAGAAAAAGUGAACCGUCAACUUUAGAUUUUUAGUCGUAUGGCAACUUGUCCUUUUUGGACGAUGAGAGGGAGUUAUUAAAUUAUGCCCAGAAAGGAGAACACCAAAGCCAAAACAUGGGAGCGAGACAGAAGAAAGCGAAUGAAUGUCUACUUCAAAACCCUUGCAGAUCUCUUACCACCACUGCAAGAAGGUCGCAAACGCAACAAAGUAGAUAUUCUUAUCCAUGCCUCCAAAUACGUCAAAGACCUCCAUAGUCGAACAGAAGAGUUAUUCUUUGCUCAUGCUACGGAUGCACACAAGGAGGAAUUAACGCGUUUAAAGAAGCUUGUUGCUCAGCUGUUUUCUCGAACUCAACUACUCUCUGCUCUUUUGAAAGAAGCUGGAAUAUCUGUUCCAGCAGAACCUGCACUUGAAAGGAUUUCCCCACGAAAAUGGUCCAAUAAGAUUAGCACAGAAGAAGGAGAGAAAUGCUUUGAGAAAAAGUUAAAGAAAAGAAGGGAAAAAGUAACGGCCAACAAAGUGCCUUCUAAAAGAAAACAGACAAUCUCCUGUCAAUCCACAUUAAAAAUAUCGUCAGAAAAUAGUACCCUUGUCGAGAGUGGUGACCCUGCGGUCGAAGAUCGUGAAAAUCGUGUAAAUACUAUUAAUCGAGACGAGAACCAGUUCGACGAUAUUACUGGGCUGUCGACACUGGGACCAAAAAAACUUGAACGCAACGAAUCUUGCUCACCUUCUGCCAAUGGCGUUAAAACGGCUUUGGAUGAUCACAAAAGGAACAAGAGGAAAGGGAAAAGAAAUGAAAGAAGAAAACUAUCACCUCGUACAACACAAUCUAUGUCGAGUUUCGGCGCAGGCACCGUAAUACUUUCAAAUUCUGGCAAGGUUGUACCUGUUGUGACACCUAUGAGUGCAUUGCCUGCUUCUAAUCUAAUUGUAAAUACCAGUCCAUCCUCCGUUAAUUCGCCCAUAAUUUUAAACAGUGCUCGCUCACAUCAGAUGAUUUUCAUGCAGCCUGUUGCACAAGAAACCAAUCGUGUGCAAAAUUCUGUGAUAGCUUUACAGAACCAAGCAUUUAUUAGUACCGUGCAAAAAGUUGCCGUAAGCACUAUACCAAACAUUCGCACUAAUGUUGUGCUCAACUCUCAAGAUUGGUUUUCCAACGUGAAGACUAUUAUUGAUGCUACGAAAAUAGGCGGGCAUAAAGGAAUCUUGCCCAAAGGCAGAGAAGUCACAAAGACUACGAUGGCCUACAAAGUUCCUAUUCCUGCAGUUCACAAAACUAAGGUUCAAAAAAUUAAGAAUACUGAGGCUCAACGAGAUAUCGUACACUCACUCAAACUACGAUCAAAGGUUACCUCGUCGAAAUCAACAAAAGAAGCGCGAGGACAUGGUUCGAUCAAAAAAGUUGCAGUUACGAACAGUCAUGAAAAUGCAAAAUCUAAUGAAUCUAAUAAUGUUGAUGACUAUGGUGCUGAGGAUAGUAAUGACAGCAACACCUCUUCUGAAAAUAAUAAGAAAGAUGAUCGAAAGAAGAAUGGAGUUCUUAACGAAAUCGAUGAAGGGAACAAAGAUGAAAAAAGGUUAGCAAUAACGAGUGAAGAUAAUAAAGGAAGAAAAAAUAAUGCGAAGAAGAAAAAGAAUGAGGAUAAAAAUAAAGAUGAGGUAAAUGUUCAAUCACCAAUUAGAACCGAUAAAGAGCGAUUAUCGCUUAAACGCAAGUUAAAGAAAAAAGAAGCUUCUCACUCUGAGGAAUCUGAAGUAAAUAAGAAGCGUAAAAAAAGUGAUAAAAACGAAUCCUCAGAGAAUAAGAAAGAAGUUGAAAUGGCGGAAUUACCAACAACUUGUAAGUCCAUAGAAAGAAUGCAAAACGUCAUAGAAAAAAUAGAAGAUCAUGUAAACGACACCUUGUCACAUAACGGAGAUUUUGCUUCACCAGAGUUUAAGGUAUCUAAAACUGAUAGGGUAGCCAAUGUAGGCAAAGUUGACAAAGUAUCAGCAGAGAAAGAUUACAAUGAUCAAAGUUUACACGACAGUAUUGAAACGGUAUCGAAAAUAGUACCCACUGCUAUUACUGAAUCCCAAACUGUUAAAAUUAGUGAGGAUUGCGAAUCAAGUGGAGAUCUCGUAGCAUGUCAACUAGAGUUUGAGGCAUCAGAUGGAGAUGUCAGUGUAGUAUGUUCUAACAAGAGUACAAGUAUUGAAUAUUCACUGGAUAGAGUUAUGACAAAUACAAGACAGAUGAACUCUAUAGUUUCUAAGGAUUCUGCAGCUUCUAAUAUUCAAAGAGACGAGACUAUUGCCCAAGAGGGAAGAAAACUACUCUGUGAUCUUGGUAGCAGACUCGAUGACCUACUUCAAGGAAAUUCAAAGACUUUGGAAAUGGCUGAGAGUCCAACCAUUACGCCUGACAACAGCAAAAUCCUCUUAAAUCUUGAUACUAAUACAACAACAACUAUGAGAACAAAGACCGAUGCAUGUACUUCCAAUACCAAGAGGGAUGACAGUGAAGAAAGAUCUGUUGAGAGAAAUAGGAAUGAGACAUGUGAGUCUUUGAAACCUUCUGUAGAUAUUCAGACUACUGGCUCUGUAAAAUUAGAUACUUUGGCGAGAGAUGCGGAUGGACUGAAGUCUUUUUCAUAUAGCACAGAUAACACUUUUAUUCCUAUCAGUAGAACGGAAGCUCUUCAUUCUGAUCUUUCAAAUGACAUUUUUGCCUCGCUUCAAGUACCUUCGAGUUCACACAAUCCUGAAUCAAUAUCACCCACAGCAGCUUUUCUCAUGGCCUUUCCGCUAGUGUCAAGCCUGAAUGGCAAAACUGAAGUUCUGGAAGAAGAAAUAAAAGAGGAUUUUAAAUAUCAUAGUCAGACACCUCCGAUGCUUCUACAGAUAGGUACAAUGGAGCCUAAUAGUUUCAAGAUAAAACUAACUGAUAAAGAGAGUGAACUUCCUGAAGAAGUACCUAAUGAAUCACUCGAAAUGUCCAGUACCUCCACAAAAAAGAAGACAGAUUUACCAUCACCAUUGGCAUCAUCUUCAUCUUCACCUACUUCAUUGCGAGCACGAACCUCAAUAACGCCAACUACAUCAGCUACGGCAUCUGCUUUACCAUCUCGAGUUGUAGAACAUGUAACAGAAGCAGUAAUAGUUCCUGCAAUAUCUCGAUCAUCUACAGAAGUUCAUCCGACGUAUAUCUCCUCUGCAAAGACACGUCCUUCCGUUUCCAGUGAGGACCAGUUGUCCACCUCUUCAGCAGAUUUUUCACGAAGUGUGUCAGAGUGUACCACCAGUCAUGUCCAACCGAAACUGUCUACAGUAUGUUCUGCUGAAAAGCCAGAAUCCACUAAUGUCCCUUUGCUUCUUGAUACUUCCAAAGUAUUACCAAAAGUUUUAAAUAGUGAGACAGUGAAGAAACCUUAUAGGAUAGUGCAUGGAAAAGAUGAGACAGUGCCGUCAAAAACCUUAUCCGGGGUGAUCAGUGCUUUGUCGUACACUUAUCCAGUAUCAAAUUAUGAAGGUGAUCCUAGGACAACCGUAUCAACAUCUUUAGCCUCAACCUCGUCUACAUUAGAAAAUCAACGUCUAUGCCAAGUGCCACAACUUGAGUCUCGUACAAUGUUGAAAUUACCUGACUCAAACGUAGUUACUUCAUCGAAUGCUGUUUCAAGUUCUUCUGACGUGAAUAAGUAUGAUAUUAGUGGAUGCUAUUCAACUUGUCAAGAUUUCGUACCAAGUUAUUCAAGUUUUGAAAAUCAACGAUCCUCUCGUUAUGGGCCUUCCAGUUUCACACCUUCCCUUGAAAUGAAUAAUACCGCGACAAGUACUUCGAAUUCCCAUAGAAAUCUUAAGAACUUCACAUCUCUUACUUCGUCUUCGACCACCUCUUCCAUCUCAACCGCGAUUCCCUCAACUUCUUGCACGACAGCGGGCACCGCCACUUCCCCUUGCACGGGUAAUGUAGCUCUGAGUAGUGGCGUUGGUAUUACUACCUCAUCCUCUUCUUCCUCGCUUGUUGGACUGGAACGUGAUUACUCCUUACGAUCCGAAGAGUUGCUGGCUACGUCCUCACAGAAUCUUCAACAACAACACUAUUCACAGCCUGUAUCAAUAGUCAGUCAAAAUGUUCAACGAAAUUAUGUUGAGCAAAGUAGGAAGGAUGUAAUCCUAAGCACAGAUUCACAGAAUGUUCAGCAUCAUGUCUAUACCACAAAUACGCAAAAAGAUGAACUGCUUCCUAGUUUUACUAGGAAUACACAUAACAGUUAUGCUCCUCGGGAUAAGGAUAAUUUAAAUCCAGUCUCCAGAAACGUUCAGCAAAAUUAUGGGCUUCGUAACAAGGAACAACAGUCCACGAAUUCGCAGAAUCCUCAGUCUCAGCUUCAACGUCAGCACCAGUAUCAACCACACCCUCAGUCUCAAUCUCAGCACCAGCAUGCAUUACAACAUCAAUCUCAAUCUCAACCUCAACAACUGAGUACUUUUCUCUUGCGUAGCAAAGAAAAUUUUACGCAGAAUAUACGUCAGGAUUAUGCUAUACAAAAGACCCAAGAAAUGACUCCAGAUGAACAUCGACAGCAAAAACACAAUAAUUACUUAGCGAAGAAAAUUGAGGUUGAUAAUUUUUCGUUAAAUUUCUACGGGAAGGAUUCACAAGCAGACGCUCUUUCUAAUGUAGAGAUCAUCGAUGCCUUUCAAGGAAAACAUGGGCAAACCAGUACGCAGAGCAGUUACCUCCCUUAUGAAAAGGAAGGAAAGCGAUUUCUUGGUGAUCGGCCAGUACAUUCCCUUGGAAAAUCUCUUCUUACUUCUCAAAACUCUCUUCCGACGUACUAUCAACAGAUUCAUCAACCUCAUCAACCUCUUCAGUCGAUUCCGAGCCAUCAAAGUCAUGAGAGUCAUGAGAAUCAUCAUCAGACUCAGCAUCCCCAUCAGAACCAUCAGUCGAACCAGCUCGCUACCACUUCAAAUUAUGAACAAAGUACACUCACAGAGAAUUCCAUUAAAUCGACUACUACAGUCGCUCAUAACUCUUCCAACUUCAGCAUCCUUUCCUGGACCACUUUCUCUCCGGUGAGUACAAACAAUAAUCUUGUUCACUUUGAACAGGCUCAGUCGCAAGUGGAUGCAUCUGUAACCGGUGGUGCAGUAACAGCACUGGGGACAAGUACAACAACAGCACCAACAGUAAGGACGACACCUGCUGAGAAUAAAACUAUCUGUGACAAUUUUAGCUACGUUCCAUUGCAUAAAGACAGUUUCGGAUUUUCCGGCAUCCUCUCUGAUGCAUUCUCGGCUGAGAGCACUUUACACUCAUUGCAUAUGGGCAAGUCUUCUACGAGGACAAAACCUCCUCUCCUAGAGAUGCCGAAACAGCCAUCAUUUCUCGAAACCUCGAAGUUGGGCAUACUUUCGCAAAAGCACCUGCAAAAUCAUAAUCAUGGUCAAAGUCAUAGUCAAUCUCAAAAUCAAAGCCAAAAUCAAACUACUCAAUCCAUCGAUUAUAAAUAUCUCGCAGAACCAAAGAAUAAAAGCAAGUAUUCAAUGGAGACUGAAUAUAUUCACAAUGAAUUUACUAUUGGUAUGGAUCAUCAACAUCCUCAUCAUCAUCAAAAUCACCAUAAUCAGCAGCAGCAACAACAACAGCAGCACCAGCAACACAGCACUAAGCAGCAAUCGUCAAUAUCAAUUGCAACAAAGCAGGAAAAAUCCAUUCCUUACGCAAUGACUAGCUACAAUCCUCCAAUAAGCUUUGAUGUGUCAGAUCGUAAUAAUCCAGUGAAGUAUUCAGCUGAUACCUAUAUAGGAGGGAGUUUCAAAUAUACGGAUAAGUCGCUACCACAUCAGACACAGAAAUACCAGCCACUCGCACAAACUCAACUUCCAUCAAUGCCACCACAUAACAAUAGCAUUGGUUACAUCCAUAAGCAACCUCAAAAUUCCAACAAGUCUAAAACUCAUCAACAGCAGCAUCAGCAACAACAAAAUCAACAUGCUCAGCACCAUCAUCAUAAUUCUCAUCAGCAGCAUCACCACCACCAGCAACAUCAUCAUCAGCAAGUCCAACCACAUCAGCAACAUCAGCAACAACAACAGCAGCAAAACAGCAAUAGAGCACCUGUUAAUUGGAUGAUGACACCGGAAGUGAAACACAAUACAAAUAUCACGGAUAUUAUACUACCGCCGAUUGGAAAGGAGCUUGACCUUUGCCAAAAUAAUCUUUUCUCACAAAGCACGACGUACAACCAAAGUACGAGUAAUCAAUUUUAUAAUAACUACGAUGUUCCACAUAGUUUUCCAAAUAUACCGGUUCUGCAAAACGAAUCGAAGAAAAUUGAUAUCUUCUACACGGAGGAGCAACCAUUUUCUUGGUCACCAACCAAAAAUCCACAUACUCUCGUGGAACAGAGUCAAUCGAUUAAAUCAAUUGAGCAACAUAUUGUUCCUCCAACUCUACCAACUCUUGUAGGUGAUCUUGCUUUGGGUACCAAUAUUCCUGACAAGCAAAACUUCCUCUUUAGUCAGAUUCCUGCAGCUGCUGUUGCGGCCGCUGCCGCUGCAGCUGCCAUGGCUACUGCCGCUACUACUGUAUCAACAUCCACGUCUACUACGGUUUCAACGACAUCAUCGAGUCUUCUUCUGACAUCUAGUUCUAUAACAUUUUCUACGCCAGUAUCAACUUCAACUUCGACAUCCGCUUCCAUAUCUACUUCCACUUCAACUUCUACAUCUGCAUCCAGGUCGACGGUUCCUUCGUCUUUAAUAUUCACACCAACAACCCCUGCAACGACUACGUCGUCAUUGGCGUCAACCUCAGGAUCGGCAUCGACAUCAAUAUCGACGUCGACGUCAGUACCGAUAUUAGCUCCUACAUCCACAUCAACUUCGACAUCGACAUCAGUUUCGACAUUGAUUUCUAAUACUGCUGUUGGCACUGCAGUCGGAACAAUGGCAACCAGGUCAGCAAAUGUUGAACACACAGAAAAAGAUUCAAUUUCUGGAAAAGAUAAAGAAACCAGUGCCCCCAUCAGUCGUGAUUUUCCGACAAUACUUCAUUCACAGCACGCUUGUGUUCAGGGUACUUUUUUGUCUGUCAGCCAAUUGGUGGAACAUGAAAAAGCAGAGAAAUCUCAGCAACAGCAACAAGUCAGAAAACAUCAACGAAAAAGCAGCAAGCGACAACUCGACAUGCGCAAAUCAACCAGUCAACCUACUGGAGAACAUCAACAGUCCAGAACACCUGCUGAACAGCAACAAUCACAGCUUCACCAAGAUGAAAGGAAAAAUGUUAGCGUUUCUGCUUCGUCUUCUGAGCAACAUAAUUUCUCAACAGAGCAUACUUAUCAGCAACAAAAAUAUCAUUCGCAAAAUGAUUUUCAAUGGAGAUCUCGUAAUUGCAAAAGCAAUUACACGGCUGAAGCUCUCAUUGGAGGUAACUCGAGUGCACUUCAGCAGAACAAUUUACACCAGCAGCAGCAACAACAGCAGCAACGGCAGGAGUCAAAGCACGUGGGGCCUAUAAAGUUUCAACCAAAUUACGGACCCACUAAAUUUGGAAGUGGUUUAUCAGCAUCAGGUGCAGACGUUGCGACAAUGCCUUUAAAUUAUUUCUCAGGCGCUGAUGAGAGUAACAAUUACGGUCAGGUCAAUCAAAACUUUAAUUCCUACGCUUCAUACUCCUCAAAUGCAUCUAGUAUUUAUCCUACGACGAAUUUUAUAACAAGUAUACAAAACACACCAGCAUCAUCUGGUUAUAUGAUGCCGCUUCACGAGAAUACUGAUUACCUGGAAUCAUCAAAUUCAUUUCUUUUACCAAAUGCCACGGUAACACCUGGCAACUCAACAUCUAAUGUUUUGAAGAAUCAACACUAUGCUACUUCAGCCUCUACUGCCAUUGCUGCUGCUUCCAAUUCCGGUGGAUCUGCAGUGAUAGUCAGCGGUUCAAAGAAUCAAAACUGCGAGAAACGGAAUUAUUCUAUCUCAAAAAGAAGUAAACGCAAAAAUGAUAACGGUGCAACGGGAAUACAGAGCAUCGACUUCUCCAUUUCCGGCAUGAACUCACCCCUUGAGGAUUAUCAUUCAAGCUUUCUACCUCAUGGUAAUGUGUACCAAAACUCAUCAGUUCUACCAUCUCCGGCGGUAUCAGUUUCUUCGGUGCCACACUCGGCACCACCGACACUGGCUUCUGUAAUAGUACCUCCACCGCCACCACCUCCACCAUCACCACCACAGCCAUCCUCACCAGCACUGCCACCACCAUUGCCUCUGUCAAUACCGUCUUCUGUCCAUCAAACUAACGUCUAUCCAAAGCCGGUACUGAAUGGCAAUCUGUCAGGAUUACCUGUGCCAGGAAACGUUCAAAAUAUUUCACCAGCUGGUCUUGGCAUGAGUUCCAAUGUUACCGGAAGAGGAACGUCUGUGGCUAGCCCCAUGGUGAUGACACAUCCUUCUGGGACAAGUUUAACCAACUUUAACCUUAGCACCAUUUUCCCUGAAAUUAAUGAUAAGGUUGUCGGUACCGUUCCUUACAAGCCUCUCACGCAAUCCGUGAAUCAUGGUCCUACUUACACGCACUCACCAAACUAUGCGACACCUUUGGCGCGUCAGGCACUGUCCCAAUUACCAGAGUCUACGACUCAAUUCGUGAACAAUAUGCAACCUCCAGCAUCGAGUGUGCUUCACUACAAGAAUGCCUGAUUUUUAAGAAGCACACAUACCAUAAUGGAGCCUGUAACAUAGUAAAACAAUUUGUGAAUUCGGCAGUAAACUAUAAGCCAAGUGUCGAUUAGCUGACAGGAGCAACGACGAAUGAAAGAAAGUGGCGACGAUGUGGUGUCUAGCUUAAAAGUACAAAAAGGAAGGAAACACAAUCAUCACUUGUGUAUGCAUCUGUGCCGUUAUCUAUGAUGAUAAAACAGAGCCGAUUAUGUCAUUUUUUCUUCUUGAGAGGUGAUGCAUGCAACUAUAUGUAUAUAAUUGCGUGAAAAAAUUUAUGAAUUUCGAGUUUUUAUGUAUGUCUGUGCGUGUAUGUAUCGAUCAUGGAUACGUUACCCGAUGAAGUAAUCUUAAAAAUCAUGCUAAAUUUAUAAUUCGCAGAUCGUUUGCAAGCAAUACAAGUAUGUCGAUUUUGGAGAUAUGUCAUUCUGCGUAAUUGGUAUUUUUUUAAAAAUAUUUUACUCAACGGGAAAAAAUUUUCAAGAUUUUUGAUUUUAACAUAAACACCGACGAGUGUCUUACUGACAAAUGGUAGCGUAAUUAAAUUUAAUUAUGAAAAAAAUACAAUCAACGCUGUUAACGAAGAUGCUUUUGCUACUCUUUCAAUUAGUGAUGCUGAUAACGAUGUUGAAACGACGAUUAUUACGAUCAAAAGACUAUUUUUCAUGAGUUCUGUUUCAAUUGAACUAGGGCUACUGGCGGCACCUCUCCUCAUGGAUGGAUGAAAAAAAAUCUCAUGGAAUACAACACACCAACGACGAUUCACGAGACCCGUGGCUGGUCUAGAGCGUCGAGCAUCUUACAUAACCUAGCUUAUACUAAAGGGACAACGGGAUUGUGGGAAUUUCGUAAUAAUAGGCACAAGAAAGUGCAGAAGCUGUCGUUCUCUGACUUACGGCGGAAUCGCGUAAGGAUUCUUCUGAUUUAUACCAAAAUCGAGGAUCCGACUUUAGAGUAGAGUCGCCGGAAGAGAGAAAUUCUCAGUUAGAAAUCACUAACACAAUUUUUUGAAACUAUUGGUGAAAAAUAAUACAACGAAAUUUAUCCUCCGCAACCACGAUCUCGUGGUAAGUUGUAUUUCCGUGAUACUCCACCUUGUAUUUCACAUAAUAAUAAACACCCUCCUUGCAUUCUU